GAUGAACGCUGGCGGCGUGCCUAAUACAUGCCAGUCGAGCGAACAGACGAGGAGCUUGCUCCUCUGACGUUAGCGGCGGACGGGUGGGUAACACGUGGAUAACCUACCUAUAAGACUGGGAUAACUUCGGGAAACCGGAUCUAAUACCGGAUAAUAUAUUGAACCGCAUGGUUCAAUAGUGAAAGACGGUUUUGCUGUCACUUAUAGAUGGUUCCGCGCCGCAUUAGCUAGUUGGUAAGGUAACGGCUUACCAAGGCAACGAUGCGUAGCCGACCUGAGAGGGUGAUCGGCCACACUGGAACUGAGACACGGUCCAGACUCCUACGGGAGGCAGCAGUAGGGAAUAUUCCGCAAUGGGCGAAAGCCUGACGGAGCAACGCCGCGUGAGUGAUGAAGGUCUUCGGAUCGUAAAACUCUGUUAUUAGGGAAGAACAAAUGUGUAAGUAACUAUGCACGUCUUGACGGUACCUAAUCAGAAAGCAACGGCUAACUACGUG
rnacentral:rRNA from 1 species